GAUGAACGCUGGCGGCGUGCCUAACACAUGCAAGUCGAGCGGAGAAUUGUUGCUUGCAACAAUUCUUAGCGGCGGACGGGUGAGUAACACGUGGGUAACCUGCCCUAAACAAAGGGAUAACAAUGAGAAAUCAUUGCUAAUACCGUAUAAGCUUACACUAUCUCCUGAUAGAGUAAGAAAAGAUUUAUCGGUUUAGGAGGGGCCCGCGUCUGAUUAGCUAGUUGGAGAGGUAACGGCUCACCAAGGCGACGAUCAGUAGCCGACCUGAGAGGGUGAUCGGCAACAUUGGGACUGAGACACGGCCAAAACUCCUACGGGAGGCAGAAGUGGGGAAUAUUGCACAAGGGAGGAAACUCUGAUGCAGAAACGCCGCGUGAAGGAAGAAGGUUUUCGGAUCGUAAACUUCUAUCUAGAGAGAAGAAAAAAAUGACGGUACCUGAGUAAGAAGCACCGGCUAACUACGUG
rnacentral:rRNA from 1 species